rnacentral:rRNA from 1 species
GAUGAACGCUGGCGGCGUGCCUAAUACAUGCAAGUCGAGCGAACGGACGAGAAGCUUGCUUCUCUGAUGUUAGCGGCGGACGGGUGAGUAACACGUGGAUAACCUACCUAUAAGACUGGGAUAACUUCGGGAAACCGGAGCUAAUACCGGAUAAUAUUUUGAACCGCAUGGUUCAAAAGUAAAAGACGGUCUUGCUGUCACUUAUAGAUGGAUCCGCGCUGCAUUAGCUAGUUGGUAAGGUAACGGCUUACCAAGGCAACGAUGCAUAGCCGACCUGAGAGGGUGAUCGGCCACACUGGAACUGAGACACGGUCCAGACUCCUACGGGAGGCAGCAGUAGGGAAUCUUCCGCAAUGGGCGAACGCCUGACGGAGCAACGCCGCGUGAGUGAUAAAGGUCUUCGGAUCGUAAAACUCUGUUAUUAGGGAAGAACAUAUGUGUAAGUAACUGUGCACAUCUUGACGGUACCUAAUCAGAAAGCCACGGCUAACUACGUG